GACGAACGCUGGCGGCGUGCUUCAUACAUGCAAGUCGAACGAGAAGCUGACUUCGGUCAGUGGAAAGUGGCGGACGGGUGAGUAAUAUGUAGGAAAUCUGCCUUUAGGAGGGGGACAACAGAGGGAAACUUCUGCUAAUACCCCAUAUGAGCGUAGCUGAAAUGCUAUUCUUGAAAACUCCGGUGCCUAAAGAUGAGCCUGCAUCUGAUUAGCUAGUUGGUAGUGUAAUGGACUACCAAGGCGACGAUCAGUAGCUGGUUUGAGAGGAUGAUCAGCCACAAUGGGACUGAGUCACGGCCCAUACUCCUGCGGGAGGCAGCAGUAGGGAAUUUUGCGCAAUGGGCGAACGGCUGACGCAGCAACGCCGCGUGAACGAUUAAGCCCUUCGGGGUGUAAAGUUCUGUCAGUGGGGACGAAACUUGACGGUACCCACAGAGGAAGCACCGGCUAACUCCGUG
rnacentral:rRNA from 1 species